rnacentral:snoRNA from 13 species
AUUUUCCUGAUGAUAAGUUUAAUCUGAACAAAGUGCUGUUGAUUCACAACUUAAAAUUAAACCAAAAGGAUUCUGAAACCCAUUAAAU